CGCCCCCGCCCCGAGCGACGCCGUCGCAGGCCACGCCCCGUAUCGGGGCCAUGCCCCCCUUUCGUGGAGAGAAGGAUGGGCUGGAUUCCCGCGCCGGCGCAUCCUUGGCGCCCGAUGGGCUGGUCCUCUCGCCGCUGCGGCGGUGGCGAGAUCCGCCCCCUGCUACACCGGAGUUGACCCGGGCCUGCCCUCCCCGCGGUCCGGCUCCACUGCCCUCGGGACCUGAACACCCAGCUAGUCAGCGCUCUCACAUCUCCCGCCAGGACUCCGGUGCUAGUCUAAGAAUCCGGCGUCUGCAGGGACCCUGAUCCAAAUGUUUACUUUUUGCGGACACUUCGGUGACUUUGUCAUUUGUUGUGGUUAUUUAUUUAUUUAUUUUAGAAAAAUCAAAAGCAUCUACAGGAUUUGUCUCAACGAGAACUGAACCUGUUUGGGCGAACCGUUAGGUCACCACAAAACGGGAAAUGCCAGCUAGAUUCCAGAGUGAAUCAGUCUCAUAAAACUUCCGCUGGUUUUGAGACAACUUUCAACUGAGGUGAUUUCAAACCUAGACAGCCUUUUCGAAGUGAUCCCAUGGCCACACCGGAUCAACGGUAGUUUGAAGCCACUGGCUGCAAAAAUCCUCUUUGCUCUCCGAUGCCUCUGAUGACUUGGUCGCCGACGCAAUGCUGUUGGAGGUUAAUUCUUAGACCGCAGAUCAGAUAGCAUAGCUGGAAUAAAAAGUCAAUCAGGGAGUUUCCUGGCGGUCCAAUGGUGCUUUCACUGCCAUGGCCUAAAUUCAGUUCCUGGUCACAACUAAGAUUCCACAAGGGGCCUGGCGAAGCCAAAAAACAAAAUUCCUUUCAGAUUUGUGUGUUCAACUCCAGUGCCAUGUGCAAAAAUGGUAUUGUUUAAGAAUUGCAUUUGAGGGACUUCCCUGGCAGUCCAGUAGUUAAGACUCCACCCUUCCAAUGUCUCAGGGUGAGGGUUUGAUUCCUGAUCAGGGAAAUAAGAUCCCAUAUGAAUUUUUUUUAAUCUACUCUUUAAAAAAAAAAUGUAUUUGAACAAAGCCUCCUCAUAGUGUACUGGUGUAUUCACCCUGGUAGAAG
ensembl:lncRNA